rnacentral:rRNA from 1 species
GACGAACGCUGGCGGCGUGCUUAACACAUGCAAGUCGAACGGAAAGGCCUCUUUCUGGGGGUACCCGAGUGGCGAACGGGUGAGUAACUCGUGAGUAACCUGCCCUUCACUUUGGGAUAACUUCAGUAAACUGGGGCUAAUACCUGCUAGAUGCUCCCGCUGAAUAGUGGGGGUUGGAAAGUUUCGGCGGUUUGGGAUGGACUCGCGGCUUAUCAGGUUGUUGGUGGGUUAGUGGUUUACCAAGGCUCUGCCGGGUGGCCGGCCUGAGGGGGUGACCGGGCACAUUAGUACUGCGAGACGCCCCAGACGGCGACGGGAGGCAGUAGUGGGGAAUAUGGCACAAUGGGUGGAAGCCAGAUGCAGAAGCUUCGGGGGCGGGAGGACGUGCUUAGGGUUGUAAACCGCUUUCGCUCAUGACGGAGCUUUGUGUGACGGUAGUGGGUAAAGAAGCACCGGCUAACUACGUG